CCUCUCUCUCUCUCACUCUCACACGCCUCCUCCUCCCUCUCUACAUUCUCUCCAAAAACUCUGCUUCAAUCCUUGUUCUUGCAUCCAUUGGAGUUGUAAUUUCAAGAGUUUCUGAGGAAUCGCAUCAAUCCGUGUUUCUACCGUUUGAUUUUGAUUCAAGAAGGGGAUUGUGUGUACGUGAGCACAAGGAACGAGGGUUGCUUUGAGUUGGGUAUUGUGUUGUUUAAGCAAACGAGUAUGGGCGGUCGUGACAAUGAGCAUCAGUGAGUGGUCCGUGAGACUUGGCCUGUAUACUCCAAAGGAUGUUCCGGGAUUUAACGAAUAAGCUGCUUGGGAAGAGUUGGUUCCAAGGAGAACUGAAGCUUUUCGAC